CCUACGGGUGGCAGCAGUGGGGAAUAUUGGGCAAUGGGCGCAAGCCUGACCCAGCAACGCCGCGUGAAGGAAGAAGGCUUUCGGGUUGUAAACUUCUUUUGGCAGGGACGAAGCAAGUGACGGUACCUGACGAAUAAGCCACGGCUAACUACGUGCCAGCAGCCGCGGUAAUACGUAGGUGGUAAGCGUUAUCCGGAUUUAUUGGGUGUAAAGGGCGUGUAGGCGGGAAUGCAAGGCAGAUGUGAAAACUAUGGGCUCAACCCAUAGCCUGCAUUUGACACUGUAGUUCUUGAGUGCUGGAGAGGCAAUCGGAAUUCCGGGUGUAGCGGUGAAAUGCGUAGAUAUACGGAGGAACACCAGUGGCGAAGGCGGAUUGCUGGACAGUAACUGACGCUGAGGCGCGAAAGCGUGGGGAGCAAACAGGAUUAGAUACCCCUGUAGUC
rnacentral:rRNA from 1 species